rnacentral:rRNA from 1 species
AUUGAACGCUGGCGGCAGGCUUAACACAUGCAAGUCGAGCGGGGUGAUGGUGCUUGCACUAUCACUCAGCGGCGGACGGGUGAGUAAUGCUUAGGAAUCUGCCUAUUAGUGGGGGACAACAUCUCGAAAGGGAUGCUAAUACCGCAUACGUCCUACGGGAGAAAGCAGGGGAUCACUUGUGACCUUGCGCUAAUAGAUGAGCCUAAGUCGGAUUAGCUAGCUGGUGGGGUAAAGGCCUACCAAGGCGACGAUCUGUAGCGGGUCUGAGAGGAUGAUCCGCCACACUGGGACUGAGACACGGCCCAGACGCCUACGGGAGGCAGCAGUGGGGAAUAUUGGACAAUGGGGGGAACCCUGAUCCAGCCAUGCCGCGUGUGUGAAGAAGGCCUUAUGGUUGUAAAGCACUUUAAGCGAGGAGGAGGCUCUUUUGGUUAAUACCCAAGAUGAGUGGACGUUACUCGCAGAAUAAGCACCGGCUAACUCUGUGCCAGCCGCCGCAGUAA